UACGAAGGGGACUAGCGUUGCUCGGAAUUACUGGGCGUAAAGGGCGCGUAGGCGGCACUGUUAGUCAGGCGUGAAAUUCCUGGGCUCAACCUGGGGACUGCGCUUGAUACGGCAGAGCUAGAGGAUGGAAGAGGCUCGCGGAAUUCCCAGUGUAGAGGUGAAAUUCGUAGAUAUUGGGAAGAACACCGGUGGCGAAGGCGGCGAGCUGGUCCAUUACUGACGCUGAGGCGCGACAGCGUGGGGAGCAAACAGG
rnacentral:rRNA from 1 species